GAUGAAGAACGCAGCGAAAUGCGAUAAGUAGUGUGAAUUGCAGAAUUCAGUGAAUCAUCGAAUCUUUGAACGCACAUUGCGCCCUUUGGUAUUCCAAAGGGCAUGCCUGUUCGAGCGUCAUUUGUACCCUCAAGCUUUGCUUGGUGUUGGGCGUCUUGUCUCUAGCUUUGCUGGAGACUCGCCUUAAAGUAAUUGGCAGCCGACCUACUGGUUUCGGAGCGCAGCACAAGUCGCACUCUCUAUCAGCAAAGGUCUAGCAUCCACUAAGCCUUUUUUUCAACUUUUGACCUCGGAUCAGGUAGGGAUACCCGCUGAACUUAAGCAUAUCAAUAAGCGGAGGA
rnacentral:misc_RNA from 1 species